GUCCUUUUAGCUCAGUCGGUAGAGCAGCUGCCUCUUAAGCAGUUUGUCCGGGGUUCGAGCCCCCGAAGGGGCACCA
rnacentral:tRNA from 1 species